AACGCUGGCGGCGUGCUUAACACAUGCAAGUCGAACGGAAAGGCCCUGCUUUUGUGGGGUGCUCGAGUGGCGAACGGGUGAGUAACACGUGAGUAACCUGCCCUUGACUUUGGGAUAACUUCAGGAAACUGGGGCUAAUACCGGAUAGGAGCUCCUGCUGCAUGGUGGGGGUUGGAAAGUUUCGGCGGUUGGGGAUGGACUCGCGGCUUAUCAGCUUGUUGGUGGGGUAGUGGCUUACCAAGGCUUUGACGGGUAGCCGGCCUGAGAGGGUGACCGGCCACAUUGGGACUGAGAUACGGCCCAGACUCCUACGGGAGGCAGCAGUGGGGAAUAUUGCACAAUGGGCGGAAGCCUGAUGCAGCAACGCCGCGUGCGGGAUGACGGCCUUCGGGUUGUAAACCGCUUUCGCCUGUGACGAAGCGUGAGUGACGGUAAUGGGUAAAGAAGCACCGGCUAACUACGUGCCAGCAGCCGCGGUGAUACGUAGGGUGCGAGCGUUGUCCGGAUUUAUUGGGCGUAAAGGGCUCGUAGGUGGUUGAUCGCGUCGGAAGUGUAAUCUUGGGGCUUAACCCUGAGCGUGCUUUCGAUACGGGUUGACUUGAGGAAGGUAGGGGAGAAUGGAAUUCCUGGUGGAGCGGUGGAAUGCGCAGAUAUCAGGAGGAACACCAGUGGCGAAGGCGGUUCUCUGGGCCUUUCCUGACGCUGAGGAGCGAAAGCGUGGGGAGCGAACAGGCUUAGAUACCCUGGUAGUCCACGCUGUAAACGGUGGGUACUAGGUGUGGGGUCCAUUCCACGGGUUCCGUGCCGUAGCUAACGCUUUAAGUACCCCGCCUGGGGAGUACGGCCGCAAGGCUAAAACUCAAAGGAAUUGACGGGGCCCCGCACAAGCGGCGGAGCAUGCGGAUUAAUUCGAUGCAACGCGUAGAACCUUACCUGGGUUUGACAUGGAUCGGGGGUGCUCAGAGAUGGGUGUGCCUCUUUUGGGGUCGGUUCACAGGUGGUGCAUGGCUGUCGUCAGCUCGUGUCGUGAGAUGUUGGGUUAAGUCCCGCAACGAGCGCAACCCUUGUUCACUGUUGCCAGCACGUUAUGGUGGGGACUCAGUGGAGACCGCCGGGGUCAACUCGGAGGAAGGUGGGGAUGACGUCAAGUCAUCAUGCCCCUUAUGUCCAGGGCUUCACGCAUGCUACAAUGGCUGGUACAGAGAGUGGCGAGCCUGUGAGGGUGAGCGAAUCUCGGAAAGCCGGUCUCAGUUCGGAUUGGGGUCUGCAACUCGACCUCAUGAAGUCGGAGUCGCUAGUAAUCGCAGAUCAGCAACGCUGCGGUGAAUACGUUCCCGGGGCUUGUACACACCGCCCGUCAAGUCAUGAAAGUUGGUAACACCCGAAGCCGGUGGCCUAACCGUUGUGGGGGAGCCGUCGAAGGUGGGACUGGUGAUUAGGACUAA
rnacentral:rRNA from 1 species